rnacentral:rRNA from 1 species
AACGUAGGACGCAAGCGUUAUCCGGAGUUACUGGGCGUAAAGCGCGGGCAGGCGGCUUCUUAAGUCUGAUGUGAAAGCGCCCGGCUUAACCGGGCGAGGCCAUUGGAAACUAGGGAGCUGGAGGGCAGUAGAGGCAGGCGGAACUCCUGGUGUAGUGGUGAAAUGCGUAGAGAUCAGGAAGAACACCCGUGGCGCAAGCGGCCACCUGGCUGCCAACUGACGCUGAGGCACGAGAGCGUGGGGAGCAAACAGG